rnacentral:misc_RNA from 1 species
GAAAUGCGAUAAGUAAUGUGAAUUGCAGAAUUCAGUGAAUCAUCGAAUCUUUGAACGCAUCUUGCGCUCCUUGGUAUUCCUUGGAGCAUGCCUGUUUGAGUAUCAUGAAAUCUUCAAAGUAAAUCUUUUGUUAACUCAAUUGGUUUCUACUUUGGUAUUGGAGGUCUUUGCAGCUUCACACCUGCUCCUCUUUGUUCAUUAGCUGGAUCUCAGUGUUAUGUUUGGUUCCACUCGGCGUGAUAAGUUAUCUAUCGCUGAGGACACUGUAAAAGGUGGCCAAGGUAAAUGCAGAUGAACCGCUUCUCAUAGUCCAUUGACUUGGACAAUACUUUUAUGAUCUGAUCUCAAAUCAGGUAGGACUACCCGCUGAACUUAAGC